GACGAACGCUGGCGGCGUGCUUAACACAUGCAAGUCGAACGGAAAGGCCCUGCGUUUGUGGGGUGCUCGAGUGGCGAACGGGUGAGUAAGACGUGAGUAACGUGCCCUUGACUUUGGGAUAACUUCAGGAAACUGGGGCUAAUAUCGGAUAGGAGCUCCCGCUGCAUGGAGGGGGUGGGAAAGUUUCGGCGGGUGGGGAUGGACUCGCGGCUUAUCAGCUUGUUGGUGGGGGAGUGGCUUACCAAGGCUUUGACGGGUAGCCGGCCUGAGAGGGUGACCGGCCACCAUGCGCCUGCGAUACGGCCCAGUCUCCUACGGGGGGCAGCAGUGGGGAGUAUUGCACAGUGGGCGGACGCCUGAUGCGGCAGCGCCGCGUGCGGGAUGACGGCCUUCGGGUUGAAAACCGCUUUCGCCUGUGACGAAGCGUGAGUGACGGUAAUGGGUGAAGAAGCACCGGCUAACUACGUG
rnacentral:rRNA from 1 species